UUCUCUGCUGUCAGCUGACCGGAAGUCGCAAUCACAUGACCCGCACUGGAAUAGUUGUCUUCCGGUAGCCCCGGGCGGCCAUGUUUGAUACAGUUAUAAAACAGCGCCAGUGUACUCCAGGUCAAGCGCACUUAUCACAGUUGUUAGAAUGAAGGUCCAUGGGUGCAUUAUCUGCCAGGCAGGAUUUCUGUGGUGCACUGGUGGUGUGGUCAGUAAGACCUAUGGAGUUACAUGGAGCAGCAAAAGUGGGACCACCACGGAUCGCAUAACGACACGGAUAAUGUCGUUCAUGGAAAAUCCAUUUUGAUAUGGAAAAGCAGUUAGAAUCUACACAGUGAACAUUUAACUACAACCUAAAUGUAAAGUGCAUAGAAAAACAUGAAAAUAAGUUGCACCUCAAUGACAGAAUGGCUGCAUACCCAUGAAAAGGGAAAAAGGCACAUACUAAUAUUUCUAGGUGCAAUAUAGAUCAUAGGAGGAUAUUGCUAUUCUUUUAUUACAGUUUAAGGUCAGGGUACCAAGCACACUUCAGCCAUGCAGUCCUGGCCAUGGAUGGGUUAUGUGAAUAGAAAGGCAUUGUGUGACUCUCACCUAGCUGUUUUUAAAUCCUAGAGUUGCACUACUUGUUAGGACCUGCCAGUAAGUGUUCAAUCUUCCUGCAGCGCUACCCAGGGAAUCAAGCAUUACAGAUUGCCCAUUCACAUCAGCGGACACGAGAGAUACUCUUUAUCACCACUCUCCAGGAUGAUGAACAGAGGGCCUCGCCCAACUCUGAAUUCCCCAAUAUGGUGUAUAGUUUUCUGAACUGGACAAUACCUUAAAAGGAGAUUUCCCACAGACAACACCAACCACUCUACAGGAUAGAUAAGUGUAGUUCAUGGAAAACCUGGUCACCACCAAAUUCUGUGAUCCUAAACUGAAUCCUAUUCUCGGAUUUCAAAAUAAGAAAAACAAAAAACAAACCACUACCUGAUCUUAAAAGGG